rnacentral:rRNA from 1 species
UUGACUGAGGUUUCGGCCAAUGAUAGGAAUGCUUAGUGGCGGACUGGUGAGUAACGCGUGAGGAACCUGCCUUCCAGAGGGGGACAACAGUUGGAAACGACUGCUAAUACCGCAUGACGCAUGACCGGGGCAUCCCGGGCAUGUCAAAGAUUUUAUCGCUGGAAGAUGGCCUCGCGUCUGAUUAGCUAGAUGGUGGGGUAACGGCCCACCAUGGCGACGAUCAGUAGCCGGACUGAGAGGUUGACCGGCCACAUUGGGACUGAGAUACGGCCCAGACUCCUACGGGAGGCAGCAGUGGGGAAUAUUGGGCAAUGGACGCAAGUCUGACCCAGCAACGCCGCGUGAAGGAAGAAGGCUUUCGGGUUGUAAACUUCUUUUGUCAGGGAAGAGUAGAAGACGGUACCUGACGAAUAAGCCACGGCUAACUACGUGCCAGCAGCCGCGGUAAUACGUAGGUGGCAAGCGUUGUCCGGAUUUACUGGGUGUAAAGGGCGUGCAGCCGGGCCGGCAAGUCAGAUGUGAAAUCUGGAGGCUUAACCUCCAAACUGCAUUUGAAACUGUAGGUCUUGAGUACCGGAGAGGUUAUCGGAAUUCCUUGUGUAGCGGUGAAAUGCGUAGAUAUAAGGAAGAACACCAGUGGCG